CAACAACCAGCCAUAACUGCAGCCCGAUGAUGGAGACGUACAUCAUGACCUCUGACAAGAUGGACGCCAUCCCCCUGGUGACUGAGACAGAGAGGCAGGGAGGCUGAGAUGAACGGUGUCUGCGCUCACGGAAAAAGAGAGACAGAACAACCUGAAUCCUGCUGAACCUGUUUGAUGUCAACCAGACUUCAGUGUUCUGCUGCAAAAGCCAUGUGAUAAAGGUUAUUGCCAAACUACCAACGGGACAUUCAAGGAACCUUCUGGGAGGAUUUAGGGAGCAUUAACUGUACUUCCUUUGUAAAUGUUUUCUGACUGUCACUUUGAUUUGAAAUUUUCUUCAUCUCCACAAAUAAUUUGCUUGUGGGGGAAAAAAAAUCUUUAGUCUUGAGGUUUAAGGGAUGCUUGUUGAACAUUUGUGGAACGUUCAGACCUACAAUUUUGAAGCUUAACAUUGUACAUUUGUUUCCCUACAGUCUUGAGGUUUCUGAGAUGUUUGUAAAACCUCUCCAACACCUACAGAGUUUAAGGUUGACGGUAAAGUUGUGGAACAUCUGCAGUCCUUGGGGUUUGCGGGACGUUUGUCUAAUGUUUCCUGAACCUACAGUGUUAAGGGUUAAUGGGCCCUUUAAAGAAUAUUUUAAGGACCUGCAGUCUUGACGUUAGCAUAAUGUUUGUGGAACCUUUCUUGAACCUACAGUGUUGAGGUUUGUGGGCAGUUUGCUGAAACUUUACUGGAGCAAAAUUUGAGUAACUUUAUCUGGGCCUACAGUCUUGAGUUACAAGAAACGUUUGCAGAACGUUUCAUGGAACUAUACUCUUGAGGUUUGCAGAACCUUUCCUGGACCUGCAGUCUUGAGGUUGGUGGGACAUUUACGGAACGUUUUGCUGACCUACAGUCUUGAGGCUUGAGGACAUUUGUGGGACUACAGUCUUGAGUUUUUUGUGAUGUUGGUGGAACUUUUGUAGAACCUACAAGCUUGAGGUUCAAGGGACAUUUGCAGACCAACAAUCCUGAAGUUUGCUGGACAUUUGCAGAACCUUUCCCAGAGCCACAUCCUAAGGUUUGUGGGACACUUAUGGAACUGCCCAGGACCUACAGUCUUGGGGUUUGUUGGACAUUUCCUGGUUCCAAACGCUUAAGUUUGUAGGGCAUUUACACAAAUAGUCUUGAGGUGGUUCAAAGUAUUUGUGGAACAUUUCCUAGACUUACAUUCUAGAAGUUCUUGAGAUUUUUCCUGAAUGCUUUGCACACCUUGACGUAAAACAUCCCCAAAUCUCAAACUGACAAAUAUAAGUACUUUAUAAAUAAGAUUGCUGCACUUGAUUGAGCACCACUGUACAAUAUUCUUACUGAGAGUUUUGGGUAUUUCUGAUCUGUGAAAGGAAACUGAAUAAACAAACGGUGCUGAAACUGUCCAAACA